GAUUCUUUCGGCUGAGGUACUAGACGAUAAGUAGCAACCAUGGAAUUGUAUCCUCGCAUCAGAGAAGAAGGAGGCAGUAGAAAAUUAGGUUUCAGAAUAGAGUCAUGUGGACCACAAGACAGCCUGGUUUUCUGACUGGGCCGUCAAUGCUCUUCUGCACGAGAGGAAGAUGAAUGAGGACCCUCUUGUGACACUCAACAAUAACAGUGCUGCAAGUAAUGAAUCUCCAUCGAUGAUAAUGCAGGAAAACAACUGCCUAUUCAUGAACAGCCAGCCACUUAUAGUCUCUGAUGGGGCCUUCAUAUUCCCAGCAUCUCUAUCUCAAUGGAAUGGAAUGUAAGCAUCUCAGUAAUGCACAUUGUGGAAAUUAUUUUCAUUUUCAAACUGU